GGAAGGAUCAUUGAAUCUAUCAAUACACAACACCGAGUACUUGCCUUUGUCGGGUCGGCUGGCUUGGGCAUUGACUGGUCCGAGACAGCACGGGUUACUAUAUAUAAGGGUAACUUUACCUUUACGAGUAGCCUGGGUCCACGACUAACACUCGUGGGCUGGCCCUCUUUACCAACAACCAACACCAAACCAAACCUUUACCAAGAUGAAGCCUAAGAUAUGUAGUAGCCUGGCUAUUGCAUCCUAACUGAGACAACUCUCAACAACGGAUAUCUUGGCUCUCGCAACGAUGAAGAACGCAGCGAAAUGCGAUACGUAGUGUGAAUUGCAGAAUUCCGUGAAUCAUCGAAUCUUUGAACGCAUAUUGCGCUCGAGGCUUCGGCCGAGAGCAUGUCUGCCUCAGCGUCGGGUUAAUAUCACUCACCCUUUACUCUGUGAAUGGGUAAAGACUCGGUGAGUGGACCUGGCUGUUCCAGCUGUUAUAGUUGUGCCUGAGCCUUGGCUCUGGGCUUUGCUAUAGCUAAGCGGCUGGAUCGGCUGAAGUGUAGAGGAUAACCGUGGACCCGCUAAGGGCCGCAACUGGGUAGGCUUUCAUUAGCUAAUCAUACUUUAGUUGUUGGUCUGGAUCCUAGCCGUUCAUCCCACAACCAGGAACCUUAACCCUUAUUUUCUCGACCUGAGCUCAGGCAAGGACACCCGCUGAACUUAAGCAUAUCAAUAAGCGGAGGAAAAGAAACUAACAAGGAUUCCCCUAGUAACGGCGAGUGAAACGGGAAUAGCCCAACUUGAAAAUCUCCCUUUGGAGAAUUGUAGUCUAUAGAAGCGCCCUCUGUGGCGGCCGGAGUCCAAGUCCACUGGAAAGUGGCGUCAGAGAGGGUGAGAACCCCGUCGACUCUAGGCUUAGCCACUCCACGAGGUGCUUUCCACGAGUCGGGUUGUUUGGGAAUGCAGCCCAAAAUGGGAGGUAAAUCCCUUCUAAGGCUAAAUAUUGGCGAGAGACCGAUAGCGAACAAGUACCGUGAGGGAAAGAUGAAAAGAACUUUGAAAAGAGAGUUAAAAAGUGCUUGAAAUUGUUGAGAGGGAAGCGAUUGGAGGGUGCGGGUGCGCUCAGGCUUAUGCUUCUCUAACGAGUGGCUGUAUGUGCUGAGUGCUGGUCAGCAUGGGUUAGCCGGGCGGGAUAACAGCAGGGGUUGAUACCCUGCCUAUGCCGUCUGGCUGACCAAGGCGUGAAUGGAGCUUCGCCCUUCGGGAGCUGCUUCAUCAAGAUGCUGGCAGAAGCCCUUCAAUCGGCCCGUCUUGAAACACGGACCAAGGAGUCUAACAUGUAUGCGAGUUGGUGGGUGGCAAACCCAUGAAGCGCAAGUAACCUGACUGGUGGGAUGGCCUGUGCCUGCACCAUCGACCGACCAUGAUCUUCUGUGAAAGGUUUGAGUGCGAGCAUACCUGUUGGGACCCGAAAGAUGGUGAACUAUGCCUGAGCAGGGUGAAGCCAGAGGAAACUCUGGUGGAGGCUCGUAGAUGUGCUGACGUGCAAAUCGCUUUUCGGACUUGGGUAUAGGGGCGAAAGACUAAUCGAACCAUCUAGUAGCUGGUUCCCUC
rnacentral:misc_RNA from 1 species